rnacentral:rRNA from 1 species
AUGGCCGUCACUAGAAACAUUCUCCUCUCCGUGGCCGCCAUGGCCAUCCUGAGUACCGCCUCGGCUGCAAUCUACAAUGUCGGGGAGCCCGGCGGAGCGUGGGACCUCGGCACCAACUACAACACAUGGGCGUCCUCCAGGAACUUCCAACCCGACGACCAGAUCGUCUUCAAGUACUCCCCUCAGGCGCAUGAUGUCCUCGAGGUCAGCAAGGCCGACUACGACUCAUGCAGCACUGCGACCCCCAUUGCCACCCUCAACUCCGGGAAUGAUGUCAUCGCCCUUAACGUCACCGGCACCCACUACUUCAUAUGCGGCUUUCCUGGCCAUUGUGCGGGUGGCAUGAAGGUCAAGAUCGAUGUCAUGCCAAGCUCCUCCUCUUCGUCGCCUGGCCUGGCCAGCGGCCCAAGUGCAAGCAACGCUUCCCCACCGACGCCUGUCUCCGCCGACAUCUCUGUGGAGGCUACGGGCUUUGGCCUCGCCGUCUUGCUUGCCGUUGCUGGCCUCAUGGCUUGA